UGGGUGUUUGGAGCAGCGAUGCAACCAGUAGCCUACUUUCAAACCUUAGGUGCAAUGUUUUUGCUUUUUUUGCUCGUAUGACACUUCUGAUCGAUUUUCUCUUUGGAUCAAGAGCUUGAAAGAGAAAGCCCCGUUCUGUCCGAGAGAGGACUGUCAGCUAUGAACCAAGAAAGGCUCUCAUCAGAAUUCAACCAUCCUGGUGCCUUGCCCUUGGGGUUCCCAGCCUUCAGGACGGUUUUUCAGGUUAAAGUUUGGAUCUUCUCGCGGAAGCAGCCGAGAAACCAGUCGUUGGAUACUCUGGAACAGAGGAGGGACCCACUCAAGGAUGUGUUUCAGAAGGUUUCCUUGUGGCCAUGGGGAGAUGGGCUGGCAUGCCCGGAUCCUGGGAAAGAAAGUAGAAGGCCAUUGCAAUAGUCCUGGCCAGAGACAGUGAGAGCCUUGGGGACAGCCAUGGAGAGGGGUUGGGGGUUGCUAUUCUAGAGAUUCGACACAACAGAUCAUGGUGACCCACUGUGCUUGGAGAGUGGGGAGGGAGGAUUGCCAGGGAUGACUGAGGCGAUGCCCUCAGCUGGAAGUGGGAAGGAUUUGGCUCGGGUCGCAGGGAAAGGUAAUGAGUUCAAGUUGUAUAUUCCGAGAUAGAGGGGUUCUGAGCACAUUCAUGUAUCACAAGUAGGCAGAG